rnacentral:rRNA from 1 species
CCUACGGGAGGCAGCAGUAGGGAAUAUUGCUCAAUGGGGGAAACCCUGAAGCAGCAACGCCGCGUGGAGGAUGAAGGUUUUCGGAUUGUAAACUCCUUUUGUUAGAGAAGAGAAUGACGGUAUCUAACGAAUAAGCACCGGCUAACUCCGUGCCAGCAGCCGCGGUAAUACGGAGGGUGCAAGCGUUACUCGGAAUCACUGGGCGUAAAGAGCGCGUAGGCGGGAUAGCAAGUCAGAUGUGAAAUCCUAUGGCUUAACCAUAGAACUGCAUUUGAAACUGUUAUUCUAGAGUCUGGGAGCGGUAGGUUGAAUUCUUGGUGUAGUGGUCCAAUCCGUAGAGAUCACGAGGAAUACUCAUUGCGAAGGCGACCUGCUAGAACAUACCUGACGCUGCUGCGCGAAAGCGUGGGUAGCAAACCGGAUUAGAUACCCGAGUAGUC